GGGGUAUAGAAAGCGAAUGAAAACGAGAAUAAAAAUACAUGAAACAAAAUGUGGACCACCACGGGUACAUAGAAUGAAUUGGAAAGCUCGGUUUGAGGUACUUACCCGUUGAAGACUGAAGAAAAUGAAGAACGAACGAUGAAUGUUGAAGAACGGUCGAGAAUCUUUGCGUAAUUACUCACGGAAACAUUACGGAAACGUUACGGAAGCGCCUCGG
rnacentral:lncRNA from 1 species